rnacentral:misc_RNA from 1 species
AUUUGCGAGUCACAUCACAAUGUUUCGGGUGGCUGCGACAAGCACAGGAAAACGACUGUACAGAGACGAGAGAUCUGCCAAUUGCACGCACGGUCGGAUACAGUCAGUCUUCGAUGCAAAGAAGAGGAGCUAUGUACAAGCUGCAGGUUUUUGACGCGGACGCACGCACACACAAUUGCACAAAGCCAUGCAAGCCUUGCGGAGACCGAGAACAAAUACCAUUACACUGUUACACGCUCAUGGCCAGAACUUGCAGCACACGGGCCCGCUGCCGCCGUGGCGCCGCUUCUUGCCGCUGCCGCCCUUCCGCUUGGGCACGGUCACCGUGAGCACCCCGUCCGCCAUGGCCGCGCGCGCCUCGUCCGCGGCCGCGUCGUCCGGAACCCGGAACUGCGUCUCGAACGCGCGCGCGCCGGCCCUCUCCCUGCAGUGCCACCUCACGCUCGCGUCGCCGCCUCCGUCGCCGCCCCCCUCCUCUUCCUCGUGGCCCGCCGCCGCGCCGUCGCCGUCCUGCUUGCCACCGCCGCCGCGGACGCGGAGGACGCGGCCGUCCACCAGCUCCACGGCCACCUGCUCCCUGGCCAGCCCCGGGACGUCCAUCCUGAACACGUGCGCGUCCCGCGUCUCCUUCCAGUCCGUGGGCGGCCGCGCGCCCCCGGCGGCGUCGGGGAAGAACCUGUCGAGCAUCAUGCGAGACAGCGCCAGCGACAUGCUAGUUUCUUCGUCUUCUCUCGCCGGGGUCUGUUGCCCUGUUGGAUUGACGACGGACAAGUGUAGGGAGCUCGGCUAACAAGUUGCUUACUCCUCUGCCAGUCUGCCUCGUCAAAUUUACAGAGCGCUUGCUUUAUACUCCUACUAGGCGCCAGCGCGGUAGCGGGAAUGCGCGAGAAAGAUGCAGAACGCGCGCACAGUCAGGCUUCUCAUCCUGCGCUGGUUCGUCUGGUUGUCUCUAGAGCGUAGUAGUGCAAGUCGCCACAGGGCACAACCCGCCUGCGCCUGCGAGUUCGAGCUCCUUCGGGAAGCAUCUCAUCUCAUUUUCAGAUGAGUGCAGUGCCUGACGAGGGCUCCCAGCGCUGUCGAUACCGUUCCAGUUCGGCGCAGGGACCAGGAGUGUGGGCUCUGCCUGGAAGUGAAAAAUAUCGAUUGGAUGUUGGAUGAUCUCAAAUCUCAAUUGUCCAUGAACCUCUUAUUUAUAUAGAUGGGGUGGUCUUAUCCUAAUCAAAACCAACUCCAAAUCGUAAUCUCCAAGUUUUCUACGGUCAAAAUGGCUUCGAUUUGGAAAGCAAUUAGCUCAAAAUAGGACGGGGAUACUGGCCUCCCCAGGUCCCAAACUUGCCUGGCCGGUUUUGAUGAGGGCUGAGCAGCCACAUAGGAAGGCAAACUAGCUAUUGAGCAAAUGACAAAAGAGAAAAUCACGAUUCAUGAGAACGCUAAUGAGCGUUUAGGGUAAACGUUCAAUAGCAAGAGGUCUAUAUAUACAAAGAUAGCCAUAAUAAUUUUGUGUUAUCAUUAAACACCAA